rnacentral:rRNA from 1 species
GAGGUCCUGCCUGCCCUGUGAUAUAUAUUUAACGGCCGCGGUAUUUUGACCGUGCAAAGGUAGCGCAAUCACUUGUCCUUUAAAUGAAGACCUGUAUGAAUGGCAUGACGAGGGCUUAACUGUCUCCUUUUUCCAAUCAAUGAAAUUGAUCUUCCCGUGCAGAAGCGGGAAUACAACCAUAAGACGAGAAGACCCUAUGGAGCUUUAAACAAAAAUAGAUCUUGUUAAACAUAUCUUAAUUAAAGAAGUGAACCGAAAGAAUCCUAUCAUUNAUGUUUUUGGUUGGGGCGACCGCGGGGAAACAAACAACCCCCAUGUGGACUAAGAAAACAUUUCUCACAAUAAAGAGCCACAGCUCUAAUUAACAGAAUUUCUGACCUANUAGAUCCGGCAAUGCCGAUCAACGGACCGAGUUACCCUAGGGAUAACAGCGCAAUCCUCUUUAAGAGUUCAUAUCGACAAGAGGGUUUACGACCUCGAUGUUGGAUCAGGACACCCUAAUGGUGCAGCAGCUAUUAAGGG